rnacentral:rRNA from 1 species
AUAGCUGAUUGCACCAACAAAUAGUUGAUGCAAUAUUGACUCUGUCAAAUAAAAUUCUAGGUAGAAUUAUGAUAAUGACAUUGUCUGCCUAUAUGUCUUGACCAAAUUACGUGCCAGCAGUCGCGGUAAUACGUAGAAGACUAGUGUUAUUCAUCUUUAAUAGGUUUAAAGGGUACCUAGACGGUAAAUCAAGCCUUCACAGGGACUAAUUUACUAGAGUUACUUACGAGGGGGUAUUAAAGUACUGCAGGUGUAGAGAUGAAAUUCUGUCAUACCUCUUUUCAAAAGAAAAAUUAUGGCACAGGUAUAGGUGAAAGCAUCCCCUUAUGUGAUAACUGACGUUGAAGGACGAAGGCUUUGUGUCGCGAACAGGAUUAGAUACCCCAGUAGUCAAAGCAGAAAAUGAUGAAUGUCAUAGAUUAGAUAAAUAGUUUAUUCUAUAAAUGAAAAUGUAAGCAUUCCACCUCAAGAGUAAUUUGGCAACAUUGGAACUGAAAUCAUUAGACCGUUUCUGAAACCAGUAGUGAAGUAUGUUGUUUAAUUUGAUGAUCCGCAAAAAACCUUACCACAAUUUGAAUAUUUAUAUCCAUCUUUUUUUUUCGUAAAAAAAUAAAAAGGUAAUAUAUUUACAAGCGUUGCACGGCUGUCUUCAGUUAAUGUCGCGAGACUUUGGUUAGUUCCAUUAAAUUAACGUAAACCCUUACUUUAUUUUUAUAUGAAGUAGUUCCCCGCUAUAUUGGAUAUGAUAACAGGGA